rnacentral:lncRNA from 1 species
UCUGAAAUUACUUAAUAAAGUACUCUGUUUGACGUAUAUAAGUAAGUAUAUAGACUAAGUGCGUAUAAGCUUUGUAAAGUAUAUUACAUAAAGAAUUACAAAAUAGUUUAUUUUAUUUGUCUCUUUAUACCUAUAUUAUAUCGUCUUAUAUUGAUCCUUUUAUGACGAAGGAAUGAUAAUACGCUGAAAUUGUGAUUGUUAAAAACUAAUAUAUCUGUUACAUUAUGACUUCUAAAAAGAUUUUCAUGCUAAGUUGACUUGUAUUGACGUUAUAUGAUUUCAUUCGAUUUUAUACAAUCAUUUGUAUAGUUGAAUGGAAAAAAAGAAUUACAUUAAAAAAAAAUAGGUUUUUGAAAAAUUGAAAUGACUUGAAAUCUCCAAAUGACACCACAAGACACGUUUUUAUACAGUUAUUUGUUACAUAGUUGAAAGGAGAAAAAAAAAUUACAUUAAAAAAUUUAGGUUUAAAAAAUUAAAAUUAUUUCAAAUCUCAAAUUGACACCCAAGACACGUGUUUGAACCAAUUUUCUUGCAAUUGACAACUCUGGUUGAUUACGAUGUACAAUGUCAAUGAUAAAGCUGUUUUUAUAGGAUUAAACUAUGUCAUGUCAUUGUGUUUUUAAAUUUUAGGAUUUGAUUUGAGUUUUAUCUAUGUAUAAAAUCUUUAACAACUUUGACAGUUUAUAUAACUUCUAGAUCUUUUUUCUAAUUUUCAAAUAUUAACUUAGUUUCUUUAUGGGAUUUUUCAGGGAAUGAAAUGUCUGGGGUGGGGUUGGACAACACUUUUUUAUACAGCAACACCCAUAAUUUUUAUUUUCAUUUGUAACAGAAUUGAAUUUGUUUCCACCCACUUUCAAAUGAAAACCGCUUACAUUUUGAAUUUAAUACUUUAACUUUCUUGAGUUGAGAAAUAUUGUAUCAAUGCAGUGUGGUAGAAUCUAUAUUUAUCAUUAUCGCAAUUUUGUGCAUUUUUCCUUUGAUCUUUUUCUGUGAUAAUUUUCAUACCAUGCUUGAGAUGGAAAAUUAUCGCUGGAAACAAAGCAUGAACGUGGUGUUGCUAACGAAAUUGACAUGAAAUUGACAACGUCGUCAUAGGUAAAAUAGCGAUAAAAGAUUAUCAUUGUUCAUCUCAACGUGAAUGCCUUUCUCGCUUUCGCCAUCCCGGCUCAAGCAAGAAUCAAUCUGGUUAAGAUGAUCACCGAUAAUCUAUAAAUAUCCCACAAAAGUAUUCAGAUUUGGAUGAUAUUACAUAGAAAUAAUUAUUCUUUCUUCUGUGAAGUUCAUUUGUCUUCCAGUGAUUCAAACUUCUUGCUAUGUAUGAAACUUGAUCACCAACCUAGUUGUGUACUUAUUUAAAUUCGAACAGAGCCCCAAGUUCUCUAAAAGGAAGCAAUCUUAUUUUAUUAGAUAGAUAAAUUACUAUAAUUUCAUAUGAUCUCUCAUCAGUACAUUUAGAUUCACAAUGAAUAAUUAUGUUUUUUUUUGUUUUUUUUUAGCCCAAAGUUUGUAUUGAUACGUUCAGACAGAGCUUUCAAUGGAGAUGAUGGCUUGGCAACAUGUCUUAUGGUAUUACAUUUGAGAGCACACAGUGUUUCAAAGGAAUUAUUACAUUUUAAACAUAAGAAGUUAAAUGACGACGAAAAUGUAUGAUAACAAGCAGAUGCUGAAUUCUCAGGUUAUUUGAUAAUCAGUGCUUAGGGCUUAGGUAUUGAGAAAUCUUGGACGAAAGCUACAAUUCUUGGCUGUGACCCGCAAUAAAGGAUCAUCUGUCAACUCCCAUCAACUGAAGCUAGCCUCCAAGAGAAAAAACAGAAGGAAACAUUAAGGCAGUUAUAUAUGUCUCUAGAUAUACAUUGUACAAGCUAAUAUAACCAUCAAAACACAC